CCCAACCGUCAAGAUAUCAACAUCAGACAUGGGUUUGAUAUCCCAAUUAAAUCGAUCCGGGCCAAUUACCCCUCCGAUCACGUAAAUUUCAUCUCUCACUCCUGUCAUUGCAAACCCGAUUCUCCUACGAAACUCCGAAGAAGAGGUAACGACCUUUCUCACUUCCUUUUCUUGCUUGAAAAUAAGCCCAUGGCUCAUCACAUAGAGGGCUCCCUGUACAACUGCCAUUGGACCCUGGAGCCAACCGUAAUCCUCCACUGUCCACCCAGAGCACACGUUGUCCAGGACUUGCACUUUAGAUAAUCCCUUGUGCAACACGUGCACCUUUCCUCCAAUAACUAACCCUGUGCAUGCUGAAUUGUGGGUGCAGUGGAGAUCAGGUAUCGGAAUCCACACAUCCUUCUCAUGAUCAUACAUUUCUGCUUGAGAUAUAGAUUUUCUGCAGCUGGUGAAACCUCCAGCAACGAUGAUCUUUCCUUCCAACACACAACAUGCAAACAUAGCACGAGGUAAGAUCA
rnacentral:lncRNA from 1 species